AACUACCCUACCCAGCAUGCAACAGGAGUGAGGAGCAUGUAUAGGUUGUGUCGCCAUGACGGCAUCUUGUAUGUUGUGAUAUGCAGGCUCUGAAAGCAAAUGUUAAGAACUCAGCCAACACUCCUCGUCUGCAUUAUUGAUAAAUAGACAGACAACACAUAUACUCCGCUGCUUCACAAAGCACAAUAUGUUAAAUGUUUACUUUUACAGUUUUCUAAUUCUUCCCUUCAGAUUGACAGCAGGACAAAUCGCUGGAAGUAGGUAUGUCUCAAGCUUCUUCCACUUGGUCCACUCCAAAGCGGGCUGCAAAGGGGAAGAAGUGGAAGCAGUUGAAUGACACAUGUUGCAUUUUGUAACUGGCAACAAAGUACCAGGUAAAAAAGAUUGUGAAGCCUGCCUCCAUAAAGAACUAGUAGCUCUACAGGACAGAGAUUGGCUUGCCAUCAAGUACUACAUCCAUAACAGAAUUAUAUUAAAAAAAGGGGAAAAAAAUGUUUUCCCACAUCUUCUGUGGUAGUUUGAGUAUGUUACCAGCAAUUAAAAAAGCAAAAUAAA